rnacentral:rRNA from 1 species
UACGUAGGGGGCAAGCGUUGUCCGGAAUUAUUGGGCGUAAAGCGCGCGCAGGCGGUCUUUUAAGUCUGAUGUGAAAGCCCCCGGCUCAACCGGGGAGGGUCAUUGGAAACUGAGAGACUUGAGUGCAGAAGAGAAGAGCGGAAUUCCACGUGUAGCGGUGAAAUGCGUAGAGAUGUGGAGGAACACCAGUGGCGAAGGCGGCUCUUUGGUCUGUAACUGACGCUGAGGCGCGAAAGCGUGGGGAGCAAACAGG